UACGUAGGGGGCAAGCGUUGUCCGGAAUCAUUGGGCGUAAAGCGCGCGUAGGCGGCCCGGUAAGUCCGUUGUGAAAGUCAAAGGCUCAACCUUUGAAUGCCGACGGAUACUGCCGGGCUAGAGUACGGAAGAGGCGAGUGGAAUUCCUGGUGUAGCGGUGGAAUUCGCAGAUAUCAGGAGGAACACCUAUAGCGAAGGCAGCUCGCUGGGACGUUACUGACGCUGAGGCGCGAAAGCGUGGGGAGCGAACAGG
rnacentral:rRNA from 1 species